rnacentral:lncRNA from 1 species
GGGGGGCUUCUGAGGGGCUCCCUUUAGCCCCCUCAAGCUGGGACCCCGGCCUGCUCGCGCCGCCCCGCGGUUCUUCGCGGUCCAGCUCCAGGCGGCCGCCUCCCGCGACCCCGCCGAGGCGCGGGUUUCAUGAACACGCUCAGGCGGGCGCGGAAGCACCUGCGGGGGGCGCGGGAGGAGCCGCCACAGCGGAGCCCCGAAGCGCCCCUCCCGCCCACACCCGGCUCUCAGCCUGGAGUUUCCUCCCCGCCUUGCGGAAAGUCUCUUAAAUAAUUUAUUCGGACGUUAUCAGAAACCGACUCCGGGCGCAGUGGGAAGCGCGUAAAUUCCUGGGACACGAGAACCACAGUGUUAAUGAAACAGCUGGGCUGGGAGAAGGUGGGGCGCAGGACACAUCUGUCCGAAGGGUGCCCUGGGUAAUCAGACAGCGACCUGAGACCAGAAAGGUGAGUCUGACCCUGCAAGGGACAGACCUUCAUUCUUCAGUGGGGCCCAGGACAAGGCUGCUCCAGGAGGCCUGGUCUCAAGGUGCCAGCUCUGUAUUCGUGUCACAUGGCCAAAUGGGCUCCUGAGGAUCACUUGUCUGCCUUGAGCCUCCUCCUCCAUCACCAUCGUCCGCGCGAGAUCACCCCCCCAGGAAGCCCUGCAGCUCCCUUCUGUUCUCUUUCCAGGCCCUUGUCACCCAGGCCUCGGAGCGCCAUUAUCAGCGAGAAGCUAGGUGUCACCUCGAGGUGGGGCCCUCCUCUGUGACUACCAGUGUCUCCCCGCCUCCGCCAUGCGUGUCAAGUGAGACAGAUCCACUGGCCUGAGGCAUCUGUCUGUCCCUCUCCUCCUGCAGCCAAGCUGGGCGAGGAGCAGGUUCUCAGGAGUCCUGCCUGCAAUAUUAAUGUGGCGAACCAGAGGCCGGGGCUUCAAUAAUGAAGGAGGGCUUCGCCCGAAGAAACGUGAGCCUUUCUGGCCGAGAACAGGACAAAGACACGACGGGAAUGAGCCUGAGAUGAGCACCCCCCGCCCAGGCACACUCGGAACCCAUGUCCUGCAGACAUCAACACGGCAUCGGGACAGAGUCUGGGGUAGACAAGCGAUUCAUGGUUCUCGCUGCAAAGAAACUCUUGACCAAAGGUGCUGGAAGACACGGUCCCCCAACAUUCAUGGCAGGUUGUGUUCAAGGGGGUAAGACAAUGAGUAAUUUCAACUUUCUCCUUUCUUUUCCUCCUUCCCAUACCUUUUAUAACCGGGUAGAUGACUGAAGGAGAACACUCCUAAUGACUUCUACUCCCUCAGCAGAUGAUUACAGUUCCGGCAAUGCACCGAGCAUUGCUGUAGGCGUUGAGAUCCGUGGAUAAGACAGAAGAUCCCUGCCUCUGCCUGGCCUAAGCAGGGCAACAGAGAACAACGGACACAAUGCAUAAGUCAGGUAAGGAGCUGGGGCAGGGGAGGAAAGGAGAGCCGUGAAGGAGACGGGGUGUGUGCAUUCCGAAUUAAGGAGGGUGGUGGCGGUUCCAGGCAGAGGGAACAGCCAGGGCCAAGAGAGUGCACCCCGAGGACACUGGGAACAGACAGGAGGCCAGCGAGUGGGAGCAGAGGGAGCAAAGGGCAGGCAGAGAGGGGCCAGGGCCAGGUGAGGCGGGGCCUGGGGACCACAGUAAAAACUGGUUGUUUGUUGAGUGAGC